GAGACAUCUUAGGUGGGGGCUCUCUGCUCCCGGAACUUAGACAUAUAUGGUCUUAAGUGUUGUUUAAGCAUCAAGCAUUUCCUGAGUCCAAGUUAGCCAAUUUUAAUAUAGGAUAUCAUUAAAUUACACCUAUAAGCUUGAGCCGUGGAAUCAAGAUAAAUUCUAUCACAAUCCCUUCUUUUGAUCCAAGGGUCACCCAAAUGUCCAAGGUAUAUCCAGGCCUGCUA